UAAAGUCAUUUGUGAAUGGGUACUACAGCUCUCAUUGACAUCAGUAAGGUAGCAUUACCUGUUUAUUCUCUGCUACAUCUUACAGAAGAAUAAACUGGUGAGAGUAUAUAUUUUCUAUAUAUAUACAUAUAUAUAUAUAUAAAUGUGUAUAUAUAUAUAUUGACUUGUUACAUGAAGAUGUUAAAAUUGGUUUUUAAAGGUAAUGUAAAUAAUGAUUUCCUUAAUGAAAAAAUACAUAUUUUGUAUUGUUCUAAUGCAACAGAAAAACCUUUUAAUUUCUUUGGUUCCUGUAUAUUCCAUGUAUUAAGUGUAAAUAUAAUCAGACAGGUUUAAAAAAAUGUGCAUGUAUGUAUACAGUUGCAAGUCUGGACAAAUGUAUAAAAUAAACCUUUUAUUUAAGUCUGCGUACCUGCUGCAUGACGACAAGUGCAUGGGGGACCCUGUGCAUCUGUGCAUUCGACAGAAACCGUCUUAAGUCAGGGCAGAUGGUCAUCCAACACGACAGUAUUCCAUUUCCGGACAUGACCUCUGUGGCUUAUGCUUUGUGAGAAAAUGUGCUUCGAAUUCAAGGGUCUUAAUUUUUUUUUCUUUUUAAUCAACCACUUUCAACAUUAAAGAACUCACAGAGCAACUUCACAACUCUUCAAAUCCCAUUGGAAACAUAACCAGGAAUAGUCCAGUGUUCCUAAAUGCUGGAAUAUAGGCACAUUACCGUUCAUGGUAAGAAUCUUGGGUUUACAGCCAGUUUUGAUGCAGCCUGCUUAGUGAUAUUAAUUUGCCAUUUUUAUUAUUAAAUUUGAUUUCUUUAUGUGAUGUAAUGAAUUGUACAUACCGCAGUGUGAAUUUUUUUUUAAAUCUUUUAGUGUUUACUUCCUGCAGUGAAUUUGAAUAAAUGAGAAAUGCAUUGUCUCUAACUUGAAAUGGCUUCUUUUUUGUGGGCUUUCUCUGGUUUUUAGGUUUUCCAUUAAUGUUAAAGUCCAAGGUCAUAGAGAGAAAAAGGAAAAAAGCAAUAGACAUGUAUUUUGUCUGUCUCAGAAAAAUGAAGGGGGAAAAAAAUAAGCAACUGAUUAGCAAGUUAGUAUAUUUAGAAACCUGUAAUUAAAGUAUAGCUCAAAAUGACAGCUGGCCUGUGGUCUGUCUUCCAUUUCUCAGUAUGUAACUGAAUGACCACUACAUGGUUUUGUUUUUUUUUUUUAAACUGAAGUUUGUACAGUGUUCCAAAAUAAAGUUAAUUAGAUAC
rnacentral:lncRNA from 1 species